UUAACCCGGCGUCAUGGGGGUUGGGUCUGUGCGACCCACCACAUUUUAUUUCGCUUGUAGUUCGGUUACUAUGCGUGUGACGUUGCUGCUCUUCUCAAUAGCUGGAGCUGUUGAGUUGUCCUAUGCGUCGCAAGCUACACGUUAGUCGUGCCACGGCCGCAGUGGGAGAUACAGGUGCACAAAGUUAAAAAAGGUACUUAGUAAAAAUGGACCAUGAAGAGGCUGAACGACAGCGUAUUCUGGCAAUUUUACAAGAGUCUGACUCUGACACUGAGUUGUCAGACCAGGAUGUGUGUGACAAAGAAGAUCACUUGAGUGAGCGUAGUAUUUCAAUUGACACAGAACAGGAUAUCUCAGAGUCUGAUAAUGAUGACAUUCCACUGUCUAUUCGAUUGCAAUAUAUCUGCGUAGAACAUAUAGUACCUUUCUGUGCUGACUGUACCAAAGAUAAUGAUUCCAAAUGAUUAAUUGUGUAUUUUUUAAAUUUAUUUAGUUACCUACAAAAAAGUGCCAUAAAAUUUUAAGACUGAUUGUUAAUUAAUAAUAAUAUAAUUACAUUUAAGUAGAAGAGAAAAUUUUUGUUGAUAAUUUUAGUUCUUUUUUUAAAUGUUAUUAUAUAUAAUUAAAACAUAAUAUAACAUAA